GUUCAGGUGCUAUGCAAGUGGCCGCCUCAAAACCCCGCCAGAGUGGGAACACAGCAACGGUAUGAGGAUGGUCGCUGUGCCGUAGAUUACCUGGACCUU
rnacentral:SRP_RNA from 1 species